rnacentral:rRNA from 1 species
AUUGAACGCUGGCGGCAGGCCUAACACAUGCAAGUCGAGCGGAGCGGCGGACGGGUGAGUAAUUCCUAGGAAUCUGCCUGGUAGUGUUGGAUAACGUCCGGAAACGGGCGCUCAUACCGCAUACUAUCAGAUGAGCCUAGGUCGGAUUAGCGAGUUGGUGGGGUAAAGGCCUACCAAGGCGACGAUCCGUAACUGGUAUGAGAGGAUGAUCAGUCACACUGGAACUGAGACACGGUCCAGACUCCUACGGGAGGCAGCAGUGGGGAAUAUUGCACAAUGGGCGCAAGCCUGAUGCAGCCAUGCCGCGGGUAUGAAGAAGGCCUUAGGGUUGUAAAGUACUUUCAGCGGGGAGGCGUUACCCGCAGAAGAAGCACCGGCUAACUCCGUGCCAGCAGCCGCGGUAAUAC